AUGGCUCAAGAUAAUACUAAAUUGUGUGACUUUUCCAAUACCAAUAAUAAUGAUUUCCUUAGCACUCCAAUUGCUCCUCUUAAUGAUGUUGAAUCUUGUGAAAUCAAUGCUGCUUUGUUGAAUCUUGUUAUGAAAGAUCAAUUCUCCGACCUUCCUAGUGAAGAUGCCUCUACUCAUCUAAACAAUUUUGUUGAUUUGUGCGAUAUGCAAAAGAAGAAAGAUAUGGACAAUGAUAUUGUUAAAUUGAAGUUAUUUCUAUUUGCACUUAGAGAUCGUGCUAAAACUUGGUUUUUCAUCUUUGCCUAA
rnacentral:rRNA from 1 species